GCAUAUUGUCAGAUAGUUCUACAUACUAAGCCAAGUCAUAAUAACAUUAUUUCCUGUUAGAACGACAGAAGUUGUGCAUCUCAACACAUCGACUAAUCGCUUGAAAAAAAAUAAUCAUAUAUUUUAUUUAAAAACAUACGCGAAAUGUCUAAAAUUCGAAUUUUCUUCUCCUUCAUAUUGCUAAUCGUCAUUAUGCAGAUGACAAAUGCUGAUAAAGAAGAUGAUGGGAAUGCUAUUCAAUGGGAAUAUAGGUGUACAGAAUUAGGAAAACCAUGUAGUUUUUUUAUGACGCCAUGUUGUGGAGAAGAACAUCAAUUACAAAAAAUCCCAAUAAUUCGGUGCAGGUCAUGGGAUUUACGAUCACCUGACGAUAAAAUUUGCCAACGAAUGCCAGAUGAUUAUUAUAGAUACGUCAAGAUUGAUGAAUAAUAUAUCAAUCGUCAUCGAACCCUUAAAGAGAUUUUGGUUCACAUUAAUCCAUAAUAUAUAUUGAUAAAAAUAUAUUUUGUCGAUAAAAAAAUUGUUUCAUUAAUCUAAUUUAAUUAUUUUAUUUUCCUGUUUCGAAAAUUCAUGCAAAAUCCUAUUUAUAGAAAUUCAAAAAAUUAUACAACAGGAAUUAAGUGAAUAUUUCCAGGCUAUAACAUGAUGAUUGUGGUUACGUAAUACUUUAAAAAAAGGUUUUUAAUAAUUAAAAACAAGUGAGAUUUAAUUUCAAAUAGAGUGUUAAGAAGUGACCAGAAUUUAUAUUAGAACUUUUCUUUAGAUAGAAAAUAUAUCCAGUUAAAAAUUAAUGUUCAAUAAUUAAAUUAAAACUGCGGGGUUUCCCUCGAUAAAAAAAAAUUAGUAAUAAUAUUCAAAUUUCUUAAUUUGUUACGAUAUUUCGAGUAUUAAAUAAUUAUUAGUUCCUAUAUGCUAAAUAUAAAUAUUUACGGCCGUGAACAUAAUUUCGUUUAUAUUUUUACAUUUUAUUGGGAACCUUAGAAUGGACGUGGCUUAGAUAUUAGUCAUCUGGUGGCCAAAAAAUAAACUAACCAAAAUAGGCUGCUUUGAAUGUUUACUAUACAAAAUCAACUGACAUUUAUGUUUUGAUAAUUUAUUUAAAUCAUUAUAAAUGUUAAAGAUUAUUACAGUAAAUAAUGGGGGUGUCAAUUUAAGACAUUUCAAAAUUUUUUAAAUGCGCAUUUUCAAAGAAUUUUAUUUUAUCAAUUAUUGAUUCUAUUUAUUAAUAAUUUUAAAUUUGUCUGAUGUCUACUGCAUUCACACUCAUUUAUUUUUGUCUUCAAUGAUCAAGUAUUCGACAUCUUGAAUACUUGAUCAUUGAAGACAAAAAGUAAUCAUCAUCUGGAUAAAAUAAAUGUUCAAGUUCUCAAAAGUGGAAGGAUUGUGGGUAUGAAUUUUUCUUGUUAAGUUGGUUUGAUGGUUUAUGCAAGCACGUGGUAGCAAAACUGUUUUAUUUAUGUCAGCAAUCAUCAAAACAGUCGAAUUUAUCUUUUUGAUCCAUUUUAUUUUUCAAAGUAACCAUAUUUGCAAAUUUUUGACGAACAUUGAAAAAUGUACACUGUCAUUAGAAUCACGACUUUUACAAUCAUACAAACAAUAUAUGUUACAUUUACUUAUUUUUCAUGGAAAUUCCAUGUUUAUAAAUAAAUUUUUUAAUUUAUAGAAACACAAUAAUUAUAGAGACAAUUAAAUAUUUAUUAUUUAUAUUAGCUGAUAAACGUAUAAGACACAUGUAAACAUUCAUGAUUCAGCCUACUUUGAGUAGUUAUAGCUUUGGUCACCAGUUGGCGUAUCAGAAUUCUAAGUUUUCCAAUAUAAAGCCACUUUAUCAAUUUCACUCCAGAAAGACGAUUACUGUGGAUCUGAACGCAUUGAUUAAUCGAUUUUAAAAAAUAUUUAUAAUAUUAUAUUUUAUUUAACAUAUACGUAAAAUGUUUAAAAUUACGGUUUUGUUAUUCUCCACUUUGUUAAUCGUUAUUAUGCAGUCGACAAGUGCUUUUUAUUACAAUAUCACUGAUCACAUCAUAUACAGAUGUACAGAUUUAGGAGACAUAUGUCACAAUGAUUUGCCGCCAUGUUGUGGAGAAGAGCGCAGAUUACAUCAAAUUCCAGUAGUUCGAUGCAGACAGUGGAAUUUAUUAAUACCACAUGAGAAACGUUGUCAACGAAUGCCGAAUGACUAUUACUUGUAUUUUACUGAUAAUGACAAAUAAUAUGUAUUAGUUCAUGACAUGCAUAAAAAAAAAUAAAUAUUAUAAAUUAAGGAAC